UACGGAGGGUGCGAGCGUUGUUCGGAAUUACUGGGCGUAAAGCGCGUGUAGGCGGCCUUCUAAGUCUGGUGUGAAAGCCCGGGGCUCACCCCCGGAAGUGCAUUGGAUACUGGGAGGCUGGAGUACCGGAGAGGAGGGUGGAAUUCCUGGUGUAGCGGUGAAAUGCGUAGAUAUCAGGAGGAACACCGGUGGCGAAGGCGGCCAACUGGACGGUGACUGACACUGAGACGCGAAAGCGUGGGGAGCAAACAGG
rnacentral:rRNA from 1 species